rnacentral:rRNA from 1 species
AUACGUAGGGGGCAAGCGUUAUCCGGAUUUACUGGGUGUAAAGGGAGCGUAGACGGUGUGACAAGUCUGAUGUGAAAACCCGGGGCUCAACUCCGGGAUUGCAUUGGAAACUGCCAUACUUGAGUGCAGGAGAGGUAAGCGGAAUUCCUAGUGUAGCGGUGAAAUGCGUAGAUAUUAGGAGGAACACCGGCGGCGAAGGCGGCUUACUGGACUGUAACUGACGUUGAGGCUCGAAAGCGUGGGGAGCAAACAGGAUUAGAUACCCUGGUAGUCCACGCGGUAAACGAUGAAUACUAGGUGUUGGGGGUCUAUAGACCCUCGGUGCCGCAGCAAACGCAAUAAGUAUUCCACCUGGGGAGUACGUUCGCAAGAAUGAAACUCAAAUGAAUUGACGGGG